AGGCCGAGAGAGGCCACCGGCCCUUUGUUGAUCUGCGAGAAAUCAAACUACGAACACGACAAGCAUUAGCCUGCAGCUCGAGGAGACAAGUCCUGAACUGACAGCCACAAGUGGCACCUGAACAGGGACUUGAACAAAGAAGGUCUGCUGGAGCAGAAAAAGUGAAACUGACCAGAUGAAUGAGAAACCCUGGGAUGAGUCUGCCUGCAGAGGAUAUAAGGAGAUGGAUAAACCGUGUGAGUGCCCUCAAGUUGUGUGCGACCAUGGAAUGGGAGACUGGAGGGAUACAUGGAUCCCAACUACAGGCCCAGCUCCUCCAGUAUGAGCCAUGAGCCAGUUGAAUCUGAAUGUGAAGAUGGAAUGAAGACCGACGAGAGUCACACUGACGUCAACCCUCAUAACAUGGGGUCAGAUCAAGAAAACCACACCAGAAGCUGAGAAACUGGUGUAGUGCCAGGGUCAGGCAAAAACCCCUGACUCCAUGUUUAUGGCCAUGCUAGCUGUAAUAUCCUGUGCAGUAUGAUUUUUCUGUGCAGAAGCAAAAACAUAUUGGGCAUAUUUUCCUAACCCACCGGUAGUGUGAUCAUACUCUGAAGCAGCACUCCUCCUGAGAUAUAUCAUGAUCAAGGAGCAUCAGUACCAGGACCUCUAACUCCCCCUGACACAGAGCAAUUAGACUCUCAUAACAAUGGUAUCAAUUAUACCACUCCAUUGGAGGGACUUCCUUUAUGUGUCACCCAGGAUACAUUGCUCAACUGCAGUUGCCUUGCAGUUUGAUCCCAAGCAUGGUUGAGUUACCAU
rnacentral:lncRNA from 1 species